rnacentral:rRNA from 1 species
AUGAGCAAAACCACCAGAAGGAUCAGAGCCGUCAUCGAGGCCUUCGUCAUUGGCAGCAACGGUAAUCCAUCUACGCCGGACAUACUGCAGAGGACAUUUCAAACCUUUGAAAUCAACGGAGAUAAAGGCCGCCAUGACUCCUGGGGAUGGAAUCGGUUUGCCAAGGGAACCAUUCUGGAGAAAAAAUUCUUAGCAGAGAGGCACGUCACGUUUGUAUGCGCCAUCAUACUCAUUGAUGACAAACCUGCUAUUCUUGUCCCGCCUUCAGAUAUAGGGGCUCAUCUUGGCCGCCUGCUUGAUCAUACUGACGGGACAGAUGUGUCAUUCAUCGUUGGCGAUGAGACAGUCCAUGCUCACUGGGCGGUGCUUGCUGCCCGCUCACCGGUCUUCAGAGCACAGCUCUUCGGUUCCAUGUCUGAGGCCACAAUGUCAUCCAUCAGGCUGCACGAUAUCACGCCUGCAACGUUCAAAGUUAUGCUUGGGUUCAUAUACAUGGAUGAAUUGCCUGGAGAAGACGAGUCCGAUGACUAUUCCACUGAGAUGCUCCAGAAUCUACUCGCCGCGGCCGAUCUAUAUGCACUUGAUCGGCUGAAGGUUAUUUGUGACCAGAAGUUAUGGAAUACAGUUUCAGUAGAUACAGUUGCAACUAUGUUAGCUUGUGCCGAAACCUAUAACUGUCAGGAACUGAAGAACAACUGCAUUGACUUCUUCGCGGUGGAAGCAAAUUUGAAGGAGGCCAUGUUCACUGAUGGUUAUGCCUUGUUGCUUCUAAAAUUCCCAUCGAUUACCGCUGAGCUCAAAAGGAGGGUUCGGGCAUAA